rnacentral:rRNA from 1 species
AACGAACGCUGGCGGCAGGCUUAACACAUGCAAGUCGAGCGCCCCGCAAGGGGAGCGGCAGACGGGUGAGUAACGCGUGGGAAUCUACCUUUUGCUACGGAAUAACUCAGGGAAACUUGUGCUAAUACCGUAUGUGCCCUUCGGGGGAAAGAUUUAUCGGCAAAGGAUGAGCCCGCGUUGGAUUAGCUAGUUGGUAGGGUAAUGGCCUACCAAGGCGACGAUCCAUAGCUGGUCUGAGAGGAUGAUCAGCCACACUGGGACUGAGACACGGCCCAGACUCCUACGGGAGGCAGCAGUGGGGAAUAUUGGACAAUGGGCGCAAGCCUGAUCCAGCCAUGCCGCGUGAGUGAUGAAGGCCCUAGGGUUGUAAAGCUCUUUCACCGGUGAAGAUAAUGACGGUAACCGGAGAAGAAGCCCCGGCUAACUUCGUGCCAGCCGCCGCAGUAA